rnacentral:lncRNA from 1 species
AGGGCUGAUAUGACAAUUGCUGGCACUGCGUAAUUGCUGUGUGGCUACUUGAAAACUUCUCCACUAGAGACUCACUGAGAGCACCUAUUCUGUUGAAUGGAUUUGGCACAAGGAGGAGGAGAGAAGACAAAUGGCCUGGGCUGGUAAGAGACAAAAGUGCCGUGUGUGAGUCUUGGCCCACCUACCUGCUGUGAGACUCUGGGCAAAUCACCUGGUCCCUCUCUUCCCACAUCUUCUGAUGAGCCUUGCUGCCUAUUUCCUGAGUAGCUCAGUGGCCACCAGAGACCCCAGGCUCUUUAUCAACAUUUCAAGAUUGUGUAAGUUCUGGCAUUUUGUACAUUAUCAAAAAGAGAAGGCUAAGACCUAAGUCAGGCUAAAUUUGAUUCAGGAAAACACCUGACGUUUUUGUACUUAAGUAUCGAGGGGUAAAUCACAUCUUUUGCACCUGAAUCCGUAAGAACUGUGGCCUAACCCUCUUCUUCUGGAGAACUCACUUUCCUGUCUUUCUGAGACUCCAGCUAGAUAGUCCUUUGGCAGAUGUUGACCCCAUACUACCUUCUCCGUGGGCAACAUCUGAGUGCAUGGUCUACCUUAGUGAAGGACCUCUCCUUGCCCCUGAAGCACUUCUAUCAUCCUGGACCUCAACGUGGAAUGGUGACCCCUACCUGCCCCACCAGUCACGACCACCUUCUUCCAGCACCUCCAAUGUGUCUGCCCUCCAGCACCACCUGCUCCCAACGUAAGACUGCUGGGGUGAGGUUGCAAAACUUGUGUCUCCCUUAAGUAUGGCUUCUGUACAGGUUUGUACCCAGUUGUAUUUUAAUUAAAAGCUUGGCUCUCUAACAAUGCAGGUUCUAAAGAGGCCUUAGUUUGCUCCCAUUGCCAGUCUUCUUAGAGACUAAAUUCAGUCAGCGGGGGAAGGCUUUGCCUCUGCUUAGGAUUGGAAGCCUCCAUAUGCAUAAUUGCAGAGGGGCAGUAGAGGAGACUAAAUGCUUAUCUAACCUAUGGUUUUUAUCAACGGUGGUCGGUUUGUUAUUAUUUUUAAAUGAGUUAGAUUCACUUUAAGAUGUAAAUGGAAAAUGGCUCCCAAGUUGUCACAGGCACAGUGCCAAGUAUUUCAGACACUUAUGAAUAUCAUUAGAUAAUUAUCAUAUUUGCUGUCAAUAGCACUCAUUAAUCUCGUGUUCAGGGAGAGGAGCCCUUCAGAGCAUAAUUGCUGCAGUUAGAAACAUCUCUAUCCCAAGUGCCAAGCAAUUCCAUGUGACCUUCCCCUAUAGACAACCCCAUAGUUCUAUGUGAUGCCAUCCU